GAUGAACGCUGGCGGCGUGCCUAAUACAUGCAAGUCGAGCGAACAGACGAGGAGCUUGCUCCUCUGACGUUAGCGGCGGACGGGUGAGUAACACGUGGAUAACCUACCUAUAAGACUGGGAUAACUUCGGGAAACCGGAGCUAAUACCGGAUAAUAUAUUGAACCGCAUGGUUCAAUAGUGAAAUACGGUUUUGCUGGCACUUAUAGAUGGAUCCGCGCCGCAUUAGCUAGUUGGUACGGUAACGGCUUACCAAGGCAACGAUGCGUAGCCGACCUGAGGGGGUGAUCGGCCACACUGGAACUGAGCCACGGUCCAGACGCCUACGGGAGGCAGCAGUAGGGAAUCUGCCGCAAUGGGCGAAAGCUUGACGGAGCAACGCCGCGUGAGUGAUGAAGGUCUUCGGAUCGUAAAACUCUGUUAUUAGGGAAGAACAAAUGUGUAAGUAACUAUGCACGUCUUGACGGUACCUGAUCAGAAAGCCACGGCUAACUACGUG
rnacentral:rRNA from 1 species